rnacentral:rRNA from 1 species
CCUACGGGAGGCUGCAGUGAGGAAUAUUGGUCAAUGGGCGCAAGCCUGAACCAGCCAAGUCGCGUGAGGGAUGACGGUCCUAUGGAUUGUAAACCUCUUUUGUCGGGGAGCAAGGCCCGCCACGUGUGGCGGGAAGGAGAGUACCCGAAGAAAAAGCAUCGGCUAACUCCGUGCCAGCAGCGGCGGUAAUACGGAGGAUGCGAGCGUUAUCCGGAUUUAUUGGGUUUAAAGGGUGCGUAGGCGGAAGGUUAAGUCAGCGGUAAAAUGUCGGUGCUCAACACCGGCCUGCCGUUGAAACUGGUCUUCUUGAGUGAGCUAGAAGUAGGCGGAAUGCGUGGUGUAGCGGUGAAAUGCAUAGAUAUCACGAAGAACUCCGAUUGCGAAGGCAGCAUACCGGCGCGCAACUGACGCUGAGGCACGAAAGUGUGGGGAUCGAACAGGAUUAGAUACCCGUGUAGUC